CAAACGGGUGAGUAACACGUAAACAACCUGCCUUCAGGAUGGGGACAACAGACGGAAACGACUGCUAAUACCGAAUAAGUUCCAAGAGCCGCAUGGCCCAUGGAAGAAAAGGUGGCCUCUACCUGUAAGCUAUCGCCUGAAGAGGGGUUUGCGUCUGAUUAGCUGGUUGGAGGGGUAACGGCCCACCAAGGCGACGAUCAGUAGCCGGUCUGAGAGGAUGAACGGCCACACUGGAACUGAGACACGGUCCAGACUCCUACGGGAGGCAGCAGUGGGGAAUCUUCCGCAAUGGGCGAAAGCCUGACGGAGCAACGCCGCGUGAGUGAUGACGGCCUUCGGGUUGUAAAACUCUGUGAUCCGGGACGAAAAGGCAGAGUGCGAAGAACAAACUGCAUUGACGGUACCGGAAAAGCAAGCCACGGCUAACUACGUGCCAGCAGCCGCGGUAAUACGUAGGUGGCAAGCGUUGUCCGGAAUUAUUGGGCGUAAAGCGCGCGCAGGCGGCUUCCCAAGUCCCUCUUAAAAGUGCGGGGCUUAACCCCGUGAUGGGAAGGAAACUGGGAAGCUGGAGUAUCGGAGAGGAAAGUGGAAUUCCUAGUGUAGCGGUGAAAUGCGUAGAGAUUAGGAAGAACACCGGUGGCGAAGGCGACUUUCUGGACGAAAACUGACGCUGAGGCGCGAAAGCGUGGGGAGCAAACAGGAUUAGAUACCCUGGUAGUCCACGCCGUAAACGAUGGAUACUAGGUGUAGGAGGUAUCGA
rnacentral:rRNA from 1 species